GAUGAACGCUGGCGGUAUGCUUAACACAUGCAAGUCGAACGGAAUCUUCGGAGUUAGUGGCGGACGGGUGAGUAACGCGUGAGAAUCUGGCUUUGGGUUCGGGACAACCACUGGAAACGGUGGCUAAUACCGGAUGUGCCGAGAGGUAAAAAAGAAAUUGCCUGAAGAUGAGCUCGCGUCUGAUUAGCUAGUUGGUGAGGUAAGGGCUCCCCAAGGCGGCGAUCAGUAGCUGGUCUGAGGGGAUGACCAGCCACACUGGGACUGAGACACGGCCCAGACGCCUACGGGAGGCAGGAGUGGGAAAUUUUCCGCAAUGGGCGAAAGCCUGACGGAGCAAUACCGCGUGAGGGAAGAAGGCUCUUGGGGUGUACACCUCUUUUCUUAGGGAAGAACAAAAUGACGGUACCUAAGGAAUCAGCAUCGGCUAACUCCGUG
rnacentral:rRNA from 1 species